GGAAAUGAUCAAGGGCAUGGAGCAGUUCUUGCAUGAGGAAGUUGCAACAUUUGAGGUUUUGUGUUGGAAUCCUGGCAGCCAAGACCCAAGUCUGGGACAAGUGCUCUUUGGUGAGCGAGCCCCAGCAGAGGGGUUAUUGUCACCUUCCCUAUCAGAAGCAAGGAGCAGGUAGUAAUAUAUCCUUAACUAUUGUCAAGGAAGAUAGAUGUUCAAGAGAUCUAGGGCGUUGACUGCAUUAUAUUAUUUGCUGGUUUUAAACAUUUCUAGGCUUCCUUUCCAAAACACUCAAAUCAGUUCAUAAAAUAUGUAAUCCAAUUCUAAUGGCCUUAAAACAAACUCAUAGAAGUUAAUAACCUGUAAAAAAAGUAUCUACUAGCCUGCUGGGGUUGGCAGGUAAGGGAUGCAAAGGCAAGAACUUCCUUCCUCUAGCAGCUCACCUGGUUUCUUCAUUUAGGUGAGGGGAGAGACACUCACUUGCAUGCAAUUUCUUUUCACCAGUGACUAUCGUGGGUGUGCUUAAAUACAAGGCUGAAUUACAACAAACCCAAAGUAAAAUCACAGAAAUAACAUGAGGUCCUAGAUUGAUGUGAGAUGCCACUGAUUUUUGCCAUCUGCUAAAUAAGUGACAAACCUGUUAAACCAGAGAAUUUGGAUCAUACCAAUUUAGCACUACAGGCAUCCUUUGCUUACCACACUAACUGUACUUUCCUUGCUGUUAUUGAAUAGUCGGAAAUGUUCCCCCUUCAGAGUAACAAACUAAGAAACCCAAAUAUUGCUAACCUAAAAAAAAAGAAAAAGGAAGAGGCAGCAGGGAGAAAAAGUGUUCUAAACAAACAAAAUGUUGAUCUGCCUUUUAUUAAUUUCAUUUUUUAUCUUCUUGUAUACAGACGUUUGACAGCUAUGACAUUCAUGGGCAAUGCAUUUGAAAAAGAAGACAUAAAUAUUCAGAGACAUAUUAGAAUGCUGUUCAAUGUAAGCACCUGUCUACUUAGUGUUGACAGAAAAUCAUUUACUUUGCUUUAUGCAUGUUCUCUCUGGAGACCACUGAGGUCCUAUUUUAUUUAAAGAGCUGGUCCCAACAUCGCUGCUUCCACUCGAAAAUGCAAUAUAUGCAGCUAAUUAUAUUUAUCGAGGAAACAAUUUUGGUUUAUAUUUUCAAUAAUCCUUAAACAAUUUUGUCAAUUCCUUACCUCAGGAUUGGCUUCUCCCUGGGUAUCAGAAGGCACGUGACCUCAUGGUGUCUUUAUUUAUGACAUCACAAAAGAGGCAAUGAAGUCUAUGAUAUCAUAAACGUAGCAGAACCAGCAACGAUGCAUCACUGUAGGCAGCAGCAUUUACUUACAGAGCAAUCUUGUACUCCAUGUGUGUAACUCCGAGUUCAGUGGGGCUUACUUGCAGGGAAGACUGGAUAAGGUUACAGCCUCACUCACAGAAUCACUUUAUUUAUAUUGUUUAUCAAAUGUUACUGCCACUUGCAUUAAGUACACAGGGUUUCUCGUCCUAAAACCAAGAAGUAAAAGAGACAAAAGGUUUCUUUUUCAAGAAUUGGAGACAUUUGUAAUCUAUUUCUUCGAUCAGAUUUCGGUUUGAGAAUGCAAACGCUAUAAAUUUACUGAACUCUACUUUACUCUAGUUCAGUAAAUUGGCUAAAUUUUACAAGUUGCUGCACAAGCAAAUCAGCAUGUAGGUUUAAACCAGUGGUUCCCUAACUCCUUCCCCCUCCUCAGACCACUUGAAAAUGCUGAGGGUCCUGGUAGACCACUUCAUUCCCCCCCCCCCCCGCCAGUUGGGACCAAUGCACUGUGCUAGGUGCUGUAUGAUUUUUAAAUUAUAUUUUGACAGAAAUGCUGAAUGAACUUUGUGGAGCUCUGGUGGUAGGACCACAGCUUGGGAACACCUGGAUUAAACACAAAGAUUGCUGCACCAGUAUGUGUUACAACUUGGGGCAUCAGAAACUGACCCGGAGCAUUGAACCUGUGCAAAAGCACAAAUUAAGUGUGCAUACCCUCCAACAUUUCUCUGAUGAAAAUAGGGACAUCCCAUUCCAUAAUGAUAAUUUUACUAUUUAUACCCCACACAUCUGACUAGGUUGCCCCAGCCACUCUGGUCAGCUUCCAACAUGUAUAAAAACUUAAUAAAACAUUAAACAUUAAAAAGAAACCUUCCCUAUAUAGGAUUGCCUUCAGACAGCUCAGGGGUUGGAUAACGCCAUACCCUCCAACAUUUCUCUAGUGAAAAUAGGGACAUUCUAAGGAAAUGAGGGGCAUUCCAGGAUCAAAUCAGAAUCCAGGAUGCCUUCUCUACAUCAGGGACAUCCCUGGAAAAUAGGGGCACUUGGAGGGUCUGAGUGUGUUUCCAGAUAUUGUGCACAUUAUUUGUGCUUAUUAAUAUUGCAAAGGGUCAUUCAGAUAUAGUUGGCAACAGUUAUUUAUUUAUUUAUUCAUUUAUCCAUUUAUCCAUCAGAUCUUUCCUGAUGAGGACAAAUCCAAAUAAAACUGAGGAUGGGGGAAUAUGGACUAGUGUUUUGGUGCCAAUGAUGUUGCAUGGGCACUGCAGAGAGAGAGAGAGAGAGACCCCAGACCUUGCACACAGGAGAGGCAACUGUCUCAUAUUAAACACCCAUCUAGUAGCGCCCUAAGCCCGCCAAUCCUGCAACAGCACCUGUUGUCAGAUGCACAAUAGCAGCAGUGCCUGAUUAUUAUAUGUGGUAUAAAACCUGAUUGAAGUGGUUGGUGGACAGGACUGGAGAAAACCCACGAUUCACUCUAAAGGCCCUAUUCAUGUCUACUCGGAAUUAAACUCCAUUGGUUCAACGGGACUUUCAUGUACGUGUGCAUAGCUUUGGUGCAUAACUCUGGUAUGCCAGCAUAACAGAAAUACAGCAUAAAACAGUAAUAUGAAAGUGCAAAUUAAAAACUAAUAAUAAAAGAAACUGCAAGAAAGAAUGGCUUCUCAGUUAAAAUUACAUUUAAAAUUCUUGUUUUCCUGAAAAUUAAAAAGGAACAGAACAGGCAAGCUAUACUAAGAAGGGAGUUUUACAUUGGGGGACCCAUGCCUGAAAAUGUCCUAUAUCUCUCCACCUACUUAUAGUCACCAAUAUCAGACCCAAAUGUUCCCCAUUUUACAGGCACAGUCCCAGAUUUACAGAAGGCAUCCUGCUUCCUGAUUUGAUUCCAGAAUGUCUCGCUUUUCCUUUGAACAUCCCUAUUUUCAUCAGACAAAUGUUGGAGGGUAUGAAAUAUAACUUCAGAUCAGGGGUGGGGCAAGUCAAGCAUAAAAUGGCCAGUCAAGUUUUUCUGAAACCUAAGGCACAAAAUCUCCACCAUAACAGUAAAAUAAAGGUAAAGGUAAAGGACCCCUGACAGUUAAGUCCAGUCAUGAACGACUCUGGGGUUGCAGCGCUCAUCUCAUUUUACUGGCUGAGGGAGCCAAUGUUUGUCCACAGACAGUUUUUCCGGGUCAUGUGGCCAGCAUGACUAAGCCGCUUCUGGCAAAACCAGAGCAGCACACGAAACACCGUUUACCUUCCCGCUGGAGCGGUAUCUAUUUAUCUACUUGCACUUUGACAUGCUUUCAAACUGCUAGGUUGGCAGGAGCUGGGACUGAACAAUGGGAGCUCACCCCGUCACGGGGAAUCGAACCGCCGACUUUCCGAUCAGCAAGCCCAAGGCUCAGUGGUUUACACCACAGCACCACCCACGUCCGAACAGUAAAAUACAACAACAAUAAUAACCAACAGUUUGCUGCCCUUUUGAGACACUCAAAACCAGCCGCCUGAAGCAGCUGCCUCACUCUGGCUAACAGUUGGGCCAGCCCUGGCUGGAGAAUUCUUGGCCAUCAAUAUAUUAUUGGACUGCAGCUCCCAUCAGCCCCAAUCAAAAUGUUCAGGAAUGAUGGGAGCUGUAGUCCAGCAAUGUCUGGAGAUUCAUUGCUUCCACACCCCUGCUAUGGACAAAGAUGGUAUCUGGAGUAAGGCCUCAUCUGAUGAUCUGGUGAUUAAAUUCAUAGAAUCAUAGAACUGUAGAGUUGGAAAGGACAAGGGUCAUCUAGCUCAACUCCUUGCAAUACAGGAAUCUUUUGCCCAAUGUGAGGGUCGAACCCAUAACCCUAAAAUUAAAUGUUGCCAGCAGUCUUGUCCCAGUGGCUACUCUUGGGACAUCGCCUUCGAUAUACUGACACGAACAAACCCACUCUCUGUUGACACCAUUUCUGCUAUAGGAAAAGGCACAAGGAGCCAAACCACAGCUAGAUGCAGAAAUGACUGUCCACAGCAAAAUCUGGACUAAGCAGCACGUGGAAGCAAUGUGCCCUGACCUGCUUUAAGCAAAAAUUAUAAUUAAUUCAGAUUGUGCAUACAGUACAUGCUUAGUAAAUGAGAUUAAUUCUGCGGCGUGUACUCAUGCUUGCUUUCUGAAAGCAAGCUUCUGGCUGCACUGUUCUGAAAGGAACUGCAUGACCCCCAAAGUGUAAAUUUGAUACCACACCUUGUCGUCUUUGUGAAGAGCCCUGGUUUCCACCGGAUUAACACCGAGGCCAGAAAGAACUCCUUAAUGCCAGAAUCACACAGGUCAGAAUAGCAAACAUAUCAGAUUAUCAAAAAUAUAAUCAGAAGCAAGCUAAAGAGAACAGAAACUAAUUUGAAGUGAGCACGAGUGUUAUGAUAUUUUAAUACAUUUUAUGUUACCUGACAGACAUGUAAUGAUGUUAACUAAGACCUGAUGAUGUAGCAAUUGGGGGGAAGCAGGAAGGAGAGGCUUGGAAAGCAGAGGAAAAUCAUUAGUUUUCAAACUGCAAAACCUUACAAUGCUGCCACCUGUAGGGAAAAUGCUGCAAGGACAGCGAUGUAUAUUUCGGUCGUGCAUCCUUCAUUGACACACAAAAGCACAGAACGGCAUUGACUUCACAGAUACAGUACAGGUGCUUGCUUGUAAACAGUUAAUUCAUCAGGUGAACCAAGAGAAGUGCCUGUUUUGGUCUUGUGUCUUUGACUUUCAUCUAUAAUUUAAUUAGGAUCAUGAAAUAGCAGUCCAUAGAAAUUAUGAGCUGUAUGAUUCCAGAUCACGCAUCGAUCUUUUUGUCCAAUUAAGCAGAUUCUUUCUAUAGAAAAUUGCCCCCAUCACUGAUGCAAUCUCUCCCUUUCUUUCCCUCCCUCUUCUCUCCCCAGAGAACAUAAUUGGCAUUGGUGCAUAAGAUGCCUAGUCUCAUGAAGAUGAUUUAAGAUACACAAACUUUUGUGCUUCAGAUGAUUGUGGCUGGGAAAGUGGAUGUUACUGCAUGUAGAAGAGGGAGCAAACCUUUCUUCCCAUGUGGAGAUCCUCCUUUCAGAAAGCCCCAAUCUGCCUGGGCAGGAGCCAGUGCUGCUGCAACCCAGUCAGGCCAGCAAAGAGGAAGGGAAGGCAGGGAGCAGAUUCUACCACUAAGGCAUCAAGAACUUAAAUAGCCAAAAGGCAGUAAGCAGGGGAAGGAAGGAAACUGGGCUGCUGGAGAAGAAAAGAGGGGAACAGAGGCUGCAGGGAACCCCUCCUCUCUUGGAUCCUAUAGUGAAUGUCACCAGAGAGAAACUAGGCACUGAUGGGCAAGGUAAACUUUCUGAGAAGGAACAUAGCUAUUGCUCUAAUAGCUCGUGGGACAUUGGGACUGUACUGCCUAAGGAAGGGAGGGCAAGAUUGGCAGCCUGAGCCUCUACCUACAGCUAAAGCUCAAUAAAUCUGGAAUUUCCACAUUUCACCUGCCCUGUCUCCAACUGGGGCUCACCGUUGAGUGCAUUCUCCGUGGAAGCCAUGGAUCAUGGGGCAUUCAAUGUGCCACUCCCCCAGGGCAGCUUCACACACAGCCUCCCGCCAUGUGUUUGUAGUAGGCAUUUCAAAAAAGAGACGACAAGAGAAUUGUCCUGCCCAGUCCCAGCUUUGAAGCCAUUUCUGCCUUAAUGAAAGAG